UACGUAGGGGGCAAGCGUUGUCCGGAUUUAUUGGGCGUAAAGAGCUCGUAGGCGGUUCGGUAAGUCGGGUGUGAAACCUCCAGGCUCAACCUGGAGAGGCCACCUGAUACUGCUGUGACUCGAGUCCGGUAGGGGAGCGUGGAAUUCCUGGUGUAGCGGUGAAAUGCGUAGAUAUCUGGAGGAACACCGGUGGCGAAGGCGGCAUCCUGGACCGGCAUUGACGCUGAGGCGCGAAAGCUAGGGGAGCAAACGGG
rnacentral:rRNA from 1 species